CUACGGGGUGCACCAGUGGGGAAUAUUGGACAAUGGGGGAAACCCUGAUCCAGCAAUGCCGCGUGUGUGAAGAAGGCCUGCGGGUUGUAAAGCACUUUCGGUUGGGAGGACUGCUUCUAGCACUAAUAUUGUUGGAAGUUGACGUUACCUUCAGAAGAAGCACCGGCUAACUCCGUGCCAGCAGCCGCGGUAAUGCGGAGGGUGCAAGCGUUAAUCGGAAUUACUGGGCGUAAAGCGCGCGUAGGCGGCUAGAUCAGUCGGGUGUGAAAGCCCCGGGCUUAACCUGGGAACUGCAUCCGAUACCGUCUAGCUUGAGUACAGGAGAGGAGAGUGGAAUUCCACAUGUAGCGGUGAAAUGCGUAGAUAUGUGGAGGAACACCAAUGGCGAAGGCAGCUCUCUGGCCUGAUACUGACGCUGAGGUGCGAAAGCGUGGGGAGCAAACAGGAUUAGAUACCCGGGUAGUC
rnacentral:rRNA from 1 species